UCUAAUGUGGCAGAUUAGUGCAAUGAAUUUAAGCUUCAAAUAUAAAGAUUUACCUUUUAUUAGAA
rnacentral:tRNA from 1 species